rnacentral:rRNA from 1 species
GAUGAACGCUGGCGGCGUGCUUAACACAUGCAAGUCGAACGGUGAAGGCGGAGCUUGCUCUGCUGGAUCAGUGGCGAACGGGUGAGUAACACGUGAGCAAUCUGCCCCUGACUCUGGGAUAAGCGCUGGAAACGGCGUCUAAUACUGGAUACGAGCUGCGAAGGCAUCUUCAGCAGCUGGAAAGUAUUUCGGUCAGGGAUGAGCUCGCGGCCUAUCAGCUUGUUGGUGAGGUAAUGGCUCACCAAGGCGUCGACGGGUAGCCGGCCUGAGAGGGUGACCGGCCACACUGGGACUGAGACACGGCCCAGACUCCUACGGGAGGCAGCAGUGGGGAAUAUUGCACAAUGGGCGAAAGCCUGAUGCAGCAACGCCGCGUGAGGGACGACGGCCUUCGGGUUGUAAACCUCUUUUAGCAGGGAAGAAGCGAAAGUGACGGUACCUGCAGAAAAAGCGCCGGCUAACUACGUG